rnacentral:rRNA from 1 species
AACGAACGCUGGCGGCAUGCCUAACACAUGCAGGUCGAACGAGACCUUCGGGUCUAGUGGCGCACGGGUGCGUAACGCGUGGGAACCUGCCCUUAGGUUCGGAAUAACUCCCCGAAAGGGGUGCUAAUACCGGAUAAUGUCUUCGGACCAAAGAUUUAUCGCCUUUGGAUGGGCCCGCGUUGGAUUAGCUAGUUGGUAGGGUAAAAGCCUACCAAGGCGACGAUCCAUAGCUGGUCUGAGAGGAUGAUCAGCCACACUGGGACUGAGACACGGCCCAGACCCCUACGGGAGGCAGCAGUGGGGAAUAUUGGACAAUGGGCGAAAGCCUGAUCCAGCAAUGCCGCGUGAGUGAUGAAGGCCUUAGGGUUGUAAAGCUCUUUUACCCGGGAUGAUAAUGACAGUACCGGGAGAAUAAGCUCCGGCUAACUCCGUG